AUUGAACGCUGGCGGCCGGCCUAACACAUGCAAGUCGAGCGGAGCGGCGGACGGGUAAUUAAUGCCUAGGAAUCAGCCUGGUAGUGAUGGAUACCGUCCGGAAACGGGCGCUAAUACCGCAUACUCUCAGAUGAGCCUAGGUCGGAUUAGCUAGUUGGUGGGGUAAAGGCCUACCAAGUCGACGAUCCGUAGCUGGUCUGAGAGGAUGAUCAGUCACACUGGGACUGAGACACGGUCCAGACUCCUACGGGAGGCAGCAGUGGGGAAUAUUGGACAAUGGGCGAAAGCCUGAUCCAGCCAUGCCGCGUGUGUGAAGAAGGUCUUCGGAUUGUAAAGCACUUUAAGUUGGGAGGCGUUACCAACAGAGUAAGCACCGGCUAACUACGUGCCAGCAGCCGCGGUAAUAC
rnacentral:rRNA from 1 species